rnacentral:lncRNA from 1 species
AAAGUAUAUAAAUGGGAUUUCUAUUCAACUAUUUUAGCAUAAAACUGGUCAACUUCAAGGUUUAAUAAUGCCCCUCCUAUAUAUCCAGUUGCUAGACACCUAAUUGGUAUGAUCAUCCUCUCAUUCUUCAAUAGGCAGGGUCGCAGGGAUAACACUAUAGCUCAGAACAGAAGAAAUAACUCAUAUAAUAGUAUUCUUAGGAGAAAUCUGAAUGCCUGGGGAGUUAGAAGGUAUGACAGAAUAUCUCAGAGUGCUAUCCAAUCGCCAGUGUCCAAGCCACCCUACACUAACGUCGAAAAUGCACCAGCACAAGUAUCUCGUAACUCUACGCCACCUUACCAAGCUCGACAAUGCACCAACACAAGUAUUUGGUUACUCUACCCACUAACCUUUAAGCAAAUAGAAGAAGAAAUACCUAUAGUGUUUUCAACUUGAAUUUGACAUUCCAAAAGCACUAUGUUAUUCGAUUUUUUGGGAUAAAUGAAAAUAGCUUCUUGUGAUUUUGAAAAAGAACAAUCGAAAGGAAAUACUAACUUUUUAUUAAUGAACACAUACAUAUACCCAAACGGAAAACAACAAC